AUGCUCUUAAUAAUUUGUUUCCUGCGACACAGAACUCAUCACUCAUAUCUUUAGGCCAUUAAAGUGAAUCAGAUAUCUAUUAUUUAUAAGAAAAUAUGUGGAACAGCUUUAUAUAUUACAAAAGUAGACAAAUGUUAUGUGCCAAGAAAUCACUAGCAUCUGUGAUUUGAGAAGAAAGUACUUACAGCGAGGAGGAAUACACAAUUGGGAGAGGAGAAAUGGAGGAUCUAUUUAUUUUGUUGAUUAGUGAAGCCAUGU
rnacentral:misc_RNA from 1 species